ensembl:lncRNA
GGGUGAAACGUCAUCAUAACAGCUUUGACUGGCAGCUGCAGUCACGGAGAAACUUGCGUAUCUCUGUUCGGGAAUAGCAGAUAGCGCGUAGGCUCUGAGAGGAGGGCCAGCAUUUACGUUACGAAAACAUGACGGACUGUUUUAACCUGACAGCCUGAGGUGUUCUUCAGUAAACUGGACUACCUGACAGAAGGACCCGAGGCCCGGCUGCACUUUUUCGGAGCUGCCCUCAGAUUCAGACCUCAGCACCACCCAGUGACAGCAGACAGAUCAUCCAACAUGUUCACAUGUUAACUGCAAAAUGAACUGAUGAAAACAGUACAAAGGUAAAAUGAGUGUCCUUACCUGUGGUAGAGAGUGCCCAGAGGAGAAACAGAGAAAACAGCAGCUUCAUUGUGAUGAACAGGUCAGUUCUGCGGAUUAGUUUGCCUGGACCGUGAUACUAAAGCUGAGGAGCACCACUGCACUUUAUAUACUGAACAGGUGACAUCAGGUUUGGGUGUGUUUACAUUUUUACAGCAUGAUCAUUCAUACUUUCAAGUCUUCUUUCGUCAAAUCAUUAUGUCAAAGCACCUUACCACACCUUUCUUCUUCAAUUCAACAACAAGUAUUCAUGCAUCAAAACAAGCUCAGAAAUUUUCUUUUGCGUUGUUAACUUUUCAUUAAAUGAGAAUGACUUCAUGUCCUGUUUCAUUAGUCAUAAUUGACACA